rnacentral:sRNA from 1 species
AAAUACAAAAAUUAGCCGGGCAUGGUGGCGUGGGCCUGUAAUCCUAGCUACUCUGAAGGCUGAGGCAGGAGAAUUGCUUGAACCCAGGAGGCGAAGCUUGCAGUGAGCCAAGAUCACGCCACUGCACUCCAGUCUGGGCGACAAAGCAAGACUUCUUCUCAAACAAAACAAAAAAACAAAACAAACAAACAAACAAAAAAUGACUGUGUUAACGACUGGCUUGCAAAAUUUCUGAAAAUUCACAAUUGGCUCCGGAGGAUGGGGUUGAUCCAACUCCAGGCUGACACUGCCCCUGGGGUGAGAGCCCCCAGGAAUUGGAGGGCGGGGGCUGAGGGGAGGGUCCCUUAAGGCCUUAUGCUCACAGUCGCCUUUUCCUCCCCCAGAUCCUCUCCUUCAUCCUGCACACAAUCGUGCGAGGAUUUAUCCACUCCGCUGUCGGGGGCCUGUACGCCGCCGUGUACCCCUCCACCCAGUUCGGCAGCCUCACGGGACUGCAGUCUCUGAUCAGCGCGCUCUUCGCCCUUCUGCAGCAGCCGCUGUUUCUGGCCAUGAUGGGUCCUCUCCAGGGAGACCCU